CACCACUCGCGCCUCUCGGGCUGAGGGGCAACGUAGUUCUCUCUGGCGGUCGCAGGGGGCACUGAGGAGCGUCCCCUAAAUCACCGGCGCCGCGAAGGCUCAUGGGCGUAGUAGUUCUCAGGUCGGCGGGCUGUGGAGGUGAUCAGAGUGGGAGUCAGGCGGGCUAGGCCGGACCCGGAGGGAGGGGCUCGGGCUCCGGGAGGCAGCUGCGGCUCCGACUGCUCAGGAACCUCCUCCUGGGCCCGGCAGAGAGAGACCCCGAGUCCCCCGGAGUCCGACUCGCUACGCGGGUCUUGCGAGAUAUCUGGCCGCCUCUGCCGCAGCUGGAGGUAGGGGACCAGGUCCUGGACGCCUUUCGGGGAUGGGGUGAAGUGUGACCUCCCUCUUCGCUGAGACUUUGUUUUCUAAUCUGUAAAAUGGGAAUAGUAGUAUCCACUUCAUAGGGAGAGCCUGACAUCUAGCCCUGAGAGGAGAUGAACUGGGUAGGAGUCAGUGUUGGGCCCUGUGAGGUCAGGCAGCUUGCGGGGACCCUGUACUGCUAGACCUCACAGGGCCAGAGCCCACAAGACAGACAGCUUCGCUGCCCACCCCUGUAGUCCCUCAGCAGCCUAAGG
rnacentral:lncRNA from 1 species